AUGGCACCUACGAAGAGACACGCUUACAAGGCACAGUUUACACUGCAAGCUUGUUAGUUACGCGGAGGAACAUGCAAAUCGAGCAGCCGCGAGAGAAUUCAAGACCCGAGUUGGAUAACGCUUGCAGAAGAAAUGAAAAUCGACCAUUUUCAAGGUCUGUCUUGGUGCUUUUGCCAUUUAUCCAUCUGGGCAAGGACUGCCGUGGCGUAGCAACUUCCGGUGGAUUACAAGGAAAAGCUGGCCAUCUUCCGCUCCUACUGCAGUAAAAAUAUUGCCGACAAACACAUCCAGCCCAACCACAUCACCAACAUGGACUAGGUGCCGCUCACUUUCUUUCGCUUUUGACAUCCCAGGGGACCACCACGGUAGCGAUACGCACAACGGGGCACGAGAAGUCAGCUUUUACUGUUGUGCUUGGUUGGCAUGGUAAUGUACAUAAACUGCCACCUAUGGUGAUUUUUAAGAGGAAGCAGCUGUCUAAAGAAAGGUUUCCAGCCGAAGUCAUCGUUAAGGCCAAUCAAAAGGGCUGGAUGGACGAGGAGAAAAUGAGAGAGUGGCUGAGUGAGGUGUAUACAAAGAGACCGGAUGGGUUUUUUCCACGCGUCACCGUCCCUGUUGAUCUGUGACUCCAUGCGCGCCCAUCUCACAGCCAUUGUGAAAAACCAAGAACUCGGAGCUUGCCAUCAUUCCGGGAUCCUUGACGAAGGAACUCCAACUGUUGAACAUCGGUGUAAACAGGGCGUUCAAAGUGAAGUUGCGAGUGGCGUGGGAGCGAUGGAUGACAGCUGACGAACACAGCUUGACUAAGACUGGGAGGCAACGCCGGAUUUCUGCUAUCAUUGUGCAGCUCUCAGAGGGGACUGGGACUACUUUGCUGGCAGAGCCAUUGCAGAGAGCUUGGUACAUGGCGCUCCACCACCAAACUUCCUUUCUCCAGUACUAUUUAGUCUUCUGGUCAAUGGUUCAGCAAAUCGAAAAAGUCCAAGAUAAAGCUGAAACCGAACUCAUGGGUAAAGUAAAAAAGUGUGUUCUCCCCCCCCCGUGUUCCUGAUCCACGUAAUUCCAGCCACCUGUCCACACCGCCGCCUGCCAACCCACCUUUCAUCAAACUUCAUCCUUUCACAUCUGCCUCCGACUGCUCUUGGAUCCAGCCACUCUCUAUUCGUGUCACAAGGCCCAUUUUAGAGAUUCUUCCAAAAGUUCAGACAACUUCUACGUCUAUUAAGAAAAGUGCUCCUUGCUGACCUCCUCCACCACGCCGCCAAGCCAUCCACCUGCUCACGCCACCGCCUGCCACACGUUCCCUGUCCCGACGAUCUGCCAAACCGCCCCAGGGAUCCACCUUGAUAUCCUCUUCAAUAAACCUUUCACCACAACCCUCACUGUCUCCGCUUGCUCCUGGGUCCAGAGAAAAGUUAUACUAGCGUAUUGUGACAUCAUGCUAGCAAUCAUUUCUUACCAAGCUCCUUUUUACAGUAAUUUGAACAUUAUACAAAGUAUUAUCCUUGACUUCUGUUUUUUAAAACCAGUUAUCCAUCAAUGUUUUGUGUAUAUGUAUUAAUAUAAUGAGAAUAACCAUUGAUAUGGUUUCAGUCAUAACGGCCCUCUUAGGGAAACCGUAACUACAAUGUGAGCCCAACCAAAGUGAGUUUGACACCCUUGCUUUAGACCUUAUGUAUUGCAAGCAUCAUUGAUUGUUGUUGCUGAUGAUCAGAAAAUGAUUGCGCUUGCGUGUGAUUUCUGACAUUUUCUUAAGUGGAUUGCCUUUGUGUAUGAAGAACAUAACUCUUGUUCUGAUCAUUAUUAUGAUUAUUAGCAGCAGCAUCAGCAUCAGGGGUGAAGGUCACGAGCAGAGGGGUUAUUGAGGGACUGGGUGACCCCAUGGUGGCGGUGAGGAGGUGGUGCUGGUCUGGGAAAACGAGGAGGAUGAGGAAGAUGUGGUGGUCUUAUUGGGGGAGAAGGAAGAGAAUGGAAGAGGAAGCAGCAAUAACCAGACAGAAAGAUGGAAAGAAAACUGACCACGGAGUGUGGCAGACAGCAACACUGAAGGAGAUGCAGGAAUUUCUCGC